rnacentral:rRNA from 1 species
GAUGAACGCUAGCUACAGGCUUAACACAUGCAAGUCGAGGGGUAACGAGAGGAAAGCUUGCUUUCCUUGUCGACGACCGGCGCACGGGUGAGUAACGCGUAUCCAACCUGCCCCCAACUAGGGAAUAACCUUGCGAAAGUAAGACUAAUACCCUAUAAUUUCCUCAGAUGACAUCUGACGAGGAAUAAAGAUUUAUUGGUUGUGGAUGGGGAUGCGUCUGAUUAGCUUGUUGGCGGGGUAACGGCCCACCAAGGCAACGAUCAGUAGGGGUUCUGAGAGGAAGGUCCCCCACAUUGGAACUGAGACACGGUCCAAACUCCUACGGGAGGCAGCAGUGAGGAAUAUUGGUCAAUGGGCGGAAGCCUGAACCGGCCAAGUAGCGUGCAGGAUGACGGCCCUAUGGGUUGUAAACUGCUUUUAUACAGGAAUAAAGUUAGCCACGUGUGGUUAUUUGUAGGUACUGUAUGAAUAAGGACCGGCUAAUUCCGUGCCAGCAGCCGCCGUAA